GUGGGGAAUAUUGCGCAAUGGGCGAAAGCCUGACGCAGCGACGCCGCGUGAGGGAUGAAGGUUUUCGGAUCGUAAACCUCUGUCAGAAGGGAAGAAACUACGCUGUGCUAAUCAGCAGUGUACUGACGGUACCUUCAAAGGAAGCACAGCCUAACUCCGUGCCAGCAGCCGAGGUAAUACGGAGGGUGCAAGCGUUAAUCGGAAUUACUGGGCGUAAAGCGCACGUAGGCUGUAGUGUAAGUCAGGGGUGAAAUCCCACGGCUCAACCGUGGAACUGCCUUUGAUACUGCACAACUUGAAUCCGGGAGAGGGUGGCGGAAUUCCAGGUGUAGGAGUGAAAUCCGUAGAUAUCUGGAGGAACAUCAGUGGCGAAGGCGGCCACCUGGACCGGUAUUGACGCUGAGGUGCGAAAGCGUGGGGAGCAAACAGGAUUAGAUACCCCGGUAGUCC
rnacentral:rRNA from 1 species